GGGGUUUUAGUUUAAAAAGAAUGAGUGACUGUUAAUCAUUUGGUGUGUGGUAACACAAACUUCG
rnacentral:tRNA from 1 species